rnacentral:misc_RNA from 1 species
AAUAUCUCAAACAGCUUGUGCUUUUUUGGCAUGGGAUUUUUGGACAUUGGGAGUUGCCGGCUGCUGAUAAAGUGGUGGGCUCUUCUGAAAAGCAUUAGUCGAGGAGCUUUGCACUCUAUUGGUGUGAUAGACUAUCUAUGCCAGGAGGUGCUUCAUGAUCCUCUGCUGUCUAACUGUCUUUAUAAGACAAUAUGAUAA